rnacentral:rRNA from 1 species
GACGAACGCUGGCGGCGUGCUUAACACAUGCAAGUCGAACGGAAAGGCCCUGCUUUUGUGGGGUGCUCGAGUGGCGAACGGAUGAGUAACACGUGAGUAACCUGCCCUUGACUUUGGGAUAACUUCAGGAAACUGGGGCUAAUACCGGAUCGGUGCUCCUGCUGCAUGGUGUGGGUAGGAUAGUUUCGGCGGUUGGGGAUGGACUCGCGGCUUAUCAGCUUGUUGGUGGGGUAGUGGCUUACCAAGGCUUUGACGGGUAGCCGGCCUGAGAGGGUGACCGGCCACAUUGGGACUGAGAUACGGCCCAGACUCCUACGGGAGGCAGCAGUGGGGAAUAUUGCGCAAUGGGCGGAAGCCUGAUGCAGCGACGCCGCGUGCGGGAUGACGGCCUUCGGGUUGUAAACCGCUUUCGCCUGGGACGAAGCGUGAGUGACGGUAAUGGGUAAAGAAGCACCGGCUAACUACGUG